rnacentral:rRNA from 1 species
CCUACGGGAGGCAGCAGUGGGGAAUAUUGCACAAUGGGGGAAACCCUGAUGCAGCGACGCCGCGUGAGUGAAGAAGUAAUUCGUUAUGUAAAGCUCUAUCAGCAGGGAAGAAAAUGACGGUACCUGAGUAAGAAGCCCCGGCUAACUACGUGCCAGCAGCCGCGGUAAUACGUAGGGGGCAAGCGUUAUCCGGAUUUACUGGGUGUAAAGGGAGCGUAGACGGCAGGGCAAGUCUGGAGUGAAAGCCCGGGGCCCAACCCCGGGACUGCUUUGGAAACUGCCAUGCUGGAGUGCUGGAGAGGUAA